GCCCUAUCUCCAUCCCCAUCUCAAUCCUACCAUCCGAGGUCAAGGUUAGAUCUUUCUCUAUGAAAUCUGUCUUAUUUGUAUAAACUAUGACCCAUGUGUUCAUUAAUAAAGUCCAGUCCAAGCCAGCCCUUUUAAGGUUGCAUCUUGCCAGUGGGGUUUGGGCAGCUUGGCAUGAAGAAACCCAACAUCCUUUUAGAUUUUAGCUGAACAUGAAGUA
rnacentral:lncRNA from 1 species